UAGAAAUCUAAGCACUUUUCAAAAUUAAGUAAAGCAUCAAGUUGGCUUUGCAUCUGAUCGGAGAUUUUGGAGUAGGAGAAAACACAAACUCAGCUCAUUACCAAUGUAGCUUUUAACUGAACAGCUUUUAUUUUAGGCCGAAUUUGCCGGCAAAAAAUUAUUGGCACUUCAAACAGUUCGGACAAAAUGACCCGUAAAGUGUGCAGCAAGGGGGAAAGUAUGAAUCCGUUUUACGUUGGCCCAUACCCUGAUAAAUCAUGUGAAUCGUGUCCGUAUGGUAUUUUCUCGGGUUUCGUCCCAUGCGGUUGGCCCGAUCGCUGUAAAGGAAUGGCUGAAGAAAGGCAAAGAUGCUGCCUUCCAACACAAUCCGAAUCUAACGCAAAAUAAUUUUUUGACUGGCAAAUUACAAAUUUAAUCACAUACAAUAAAGCAGAAGACGUUCAGUACCAUAA